GGGCGGGCGGGGGAGGCUGGCCCGGGCGGCGCGCUGUGGGCGAGCGGCUAUGGCGGCUGAGGCGGCCGAGGCCUGGCAGCGGGGGGAGCCUUGCGCCGCCUGGGCCUGGCGGGCGGCCUAUGCACCGCCGGGUCUGGCGCAGGGCCGCCUCGCAGCGCAGAGCUCUCGCGCCGGGCCCUCCGCGGAGCUCCCUUCGGGCACGCAGAUUUCCGCUAAUAAAAUGAUGAAAUCCAAGUAGUGAGGACUACACCUUCUCUUUCCAGAGGCUGCUUCUAUUGCUGUGAAGAAAUAACUCUGGAUUUGACUGAAGCCCCUGGAGAAGUAUGACCUUGCUGUUGUCCCUUGCUAAGAGACACAGCCUUCCUGUCUCCUUGGCCAAGACAAGAUACCAGUGGAGGCUUGAAUCCUGCAAGAUCCUACAGCAGGCUGGAUUACUUUUAGCUCACUAAAAGCUGUGUUACACAGUUACAACACAAGCUUCAGGUCUGCAUGUGCAUAGUGUUAUUUCAGUUUUGGGAUAUAUCCUUAGUAACACCUUUCAGGCCUGAGGAAGAGGCUUUUAACUGUUCCCUGCUGACUGGGGAAGGAAGGGACAAUUCCCAGCCUGUUCCUUGGCUGUGGCUCUAUCAAAUCCUGGCUGUUGCAACCAGAACUCUACAGAUGUGGGAACCUCUAAAGGAGAAAUUAAACAUGGCUCUACUUCUAAUGCAGAUUGUAGGACAUCAGAUAAGUAUCUGGGCAUGCAGGCAUACAAUGCCUGCAUUGAAGGAAAAGAUACAAACCAAAUCUGAUUGCUUUAUUGGUACCUUUUUUUGUUCUUAAAAAUGCACAUUUUUAGCAGAACCAGAAGUACUUCUGAUAUGUCAAAACAGGCAUUUGAAUAAACUUGCAGAUUAUACAACACACUAGAAAGAGAAGCUCAUUUCUGCUUUCCCAGUUGCCUAGGUGAUUAACAUGAGAUAAAUACAGUUCUUCCUAUGUCUGUUCUUAAAUCCUUAAGACAAAGAGUUUUUGACUUGGUGUUGCAAGAUGUGAAGGUGUUUCCACAGCUAGAUUUCACAAGAGUUGGACCCUCCUCCCUUCCCUUUCCUUGUGUCACAUUUCUGCUCUGGAGGUCACCUUACAGGCACUAUUUAAUGCCCUCCAAACCCUGCAUAGGCUGGGAGCUGGGGUGACUGAGUUCAGUGGUGUGUGUGCUUAUGUAUAAAGCUCACACUAGUUAAAAAUACCAAGUAAUAUAUAAUUAUCUGUAGUGCCAUUAACACCCUGUAAGCAUUAGAGCAGCAAAAGGUGGUUGGCCAUGAGAAAAAGCAGAUUGCUGGGCUAGAAAUCAGGAUACCAACUGCUGCCUCUGGCUUUGGCACCGAGUGGUGUAACCCUGAGCUAGUCAACCCAUUUCUAAUUCCUCCCUUAGUUUUUCUCUGUCAUGUCUAUUUAGAUAAAAUGUCCUUUGCAGCAGGGAUUUUCUUUCCCUGUGUGUUUGUACAGUGCAUGACACAACAGGCCCCAAGCUCUGCUGAUGGCUCCAAAACACAGAACCUUCAUGAGAAGAGACUUCUGAUGCAGAAAUCUCCAUAUACGAUGGCUUCAGAAACCUCAGUUCUGCUGCCUAUUUUCCCUUCUUCCUGAAGAUCUCAGGCUGUUUGUAAGAGAGCGUCAGCUAGAGACUGGGAAAUGCUGGUGCCCUUAUUCGACACACCAGGAAAGAGAAAUACAGAAAUGUAGAGUGGAUUUCUCCAGCUCACACAGGAAGCAGGCUUUUUUUUCCUCCCUCCCUAUAUUCAGUACUACGAAGAGACACAACAUUUUAAAUAAAUAAUAAAUACAUGCAUAAUCCCAGCACAUCUUCCAGUUUUUACCUCCCGCUUCCCCUCCUUCUUCAUGGGCCCACAGAAACCACCACAUCUGCAUGCGCUUCCUUUAGUGUCUCCUCUUUCCUUCCCUCCUCUGCUGACCUCUGGAAGCACUCCACGGAUUACCUGAGCAGCUCGGGGCCACGCAACAAGAUCUCUACUUUCCAGAGACAGCCACUGAACAAGCCUGUAAUGUCUAAUCCAGCCUGAGGCUAUAGAUGCCUGCUUCCACCUACCCCUAUUUGGCCUUUGGGCCAAAUCCUUCCCACUACAUGGCAAAACAGAGAGCUAGCUGCCUUUUGCGUUUAGAAUCGUAGAAUCAUAGAACCAUUAAGGCUGGAAAAGGCCACUGAGAUCACCCAGUCCAACCAUCAACACAGUCCUGGGCGUUGUGAAUUUGGAGCUGCUUCAAAAAGGAAGCUUGGGGAAAGAAGAAAAAAAAAAAAAAAAAAGAAGGGAAGAAUUUUAUUCUUAUUUUUGCUUUAAAAGACGUUGUUUCCGACCUGUUUGCUGGGCUGCCGUCAGCGCCGCGCUGUGCCUGCGCUGUGCAGGGCGAGCAGCCCCGGCUGUUGGCCGGGCUCGCAGGGCCACCUAGCGGGAAGGGCAGGAGGAGCUGGGUCACUGCCGCGCCUCGCUGAGGCUGCUAGGCCUCAGGGACUAGCGGGCAGCUGGGGGCAGGGCACAGCCAAACCUCCGCCCGAGAAAAGCAGAGGUUGUGACUUGGGGCAUCUGAACAGCGCUGUCCAAACUGCUGUUAACUGGAAAAUCUCCCAGCCUGGCUUUGGUGUGUGAUUUACUCUCUGAAGCCCGGUACAGACACAAUAAACACCUACAGUGGCUGACUGUGGGAGCUGAAUUGGCGGUGGUGUGAUUCAUCCUUCAUUUCCAUCAUGGAUUUCAUGGGACAUGAUGUUGGGUCAUCAUGUUGUGAUUCAUCCACCUACAAAAUGCCAUUUACCUCUACGUUGCUUAGGCAGAAAAAGCAGUAGGAACUCAGGAGGACAGGGGUCCCUAAAAGCAGCGGGGCUGGGCCUAGAGGUCCCUCCUGCCUCCUCAUCCCUUGUGCCUUUGAUGGCUCCAUCUCUCAAGAUUGCCUCCUUGACUGCAUUCCCUUGAUGCAGGCUUUCAUGGGAAAAUGUUGUUGCCUAAUUCCUUUGUUUCCAUCCCAGGUCUACAGGCAACACUUUCAUGGUUCUUCCCAAGCACCUGUCUGGGUGGGCCCGUAUGUGGAUGCUGCGUUUUGGACUGAUGGCAUCCUGAAACCUUGCAGCUCGGGCCUGAAACAGGCAUCACAUGUGAAUGCUUUUCCUCUGCAAACUACAAAAUCCGGAUCUGGGAAGGAACAUCCUCCUGCUCCCACUCUGGGAAUAUAGACCUUGAAGACGUUCUUACACAUAAAAAUUUAA